GCUGUCACCCUCGCCGAAGGGCGCGCGGGCGUCGUGGAGCGGGUGACCGGGUCGUCAGGGAGACCCGAGGCGGGGUGGGCGGGUGCGGCCGACGGUGGGCGCCUGCGGUCCCACCGCACCUCCCUGGUGGCAUGACUCCUAUUUUAACAGAAAAGGUGAAGGUUGAGAGGGGACCAGCAGAGCAAGGUGCUUCAGAAGGCAAAAGCAUUUCCCCCAAGCUGAGGCCCACGUGGCUAAAAGAGAAACUUCUCCAGCAAGUGAUCGUCCAACCUCCACACACAUGUGCACACAAAUGCGUACACACACUGAAUUAAUAAAAACAUAUACAAAAGAGAAAACUCAGAAGUAAACCUCAGGACGACUUUAUUGGAGUUUGAGAGGGAAAAGCAAGCCGCUGCAUUAGAGGUGGAGACGCCUACGAACAGUGAUGGUACCUAGCGCCUUCAGACGACAGCGACAGCGAGAGAGCAAGUACGUCAGGGCCAGCAGGCUGAGGAUCACACCGGGAGCUGGAGAAGGGAAUCAUAAAGAGCCAGGAGAAGGAAACGCUGGGCUUUUUGAGUGCAUCGUGUCGGAUUUCAUACAGACAGUUUCUUCCCAGCCUAUCAUGUACUUUCAUGAUCGUCCCCUUCUCUACCUUUAUUUGCCCUCUCACCCACUACUCUCUUCCUUCUGCGUUUGUAGUGAAUAUAUGCAUCUGAAUAAAUGAUUUUAUGUGUCUGUAAAGAAUUCUGGGACACAA